UACCAAAAGAUCAUGUUUCGUGCUUUUUCUUCAGCUUGUUAUAAGGCCAGCAGUAGCUACGGCAUAGCAGAUAAUCGGGAUCUUCUGGGUUUGGAGGUUUACAACAUAAAAGAGUGAAUAAGAGGAAAAGAAGGAUGAUAGUCACGUCUUCACAGAGGAAGCAGCGUGACUGUGGGAACCAGUCUAAACCAAAGCCUGGUUUAAGCAUCUCCUUCCCUUUGAGGCUGUCCAGUGACAUAUUCGAGAGGCCGGUUACUAGAAUCCUAUCCCAUCCUGGCAAUGACAGAUCUCUGGGAGGACACCUUGGACCAGCCCCACCAGGUCUGCUGGCCCGAGAGACCGCAAGGACUCCAGGCCUGCAGCAGUGCAAGACAACUGGUGGGAGGAGCUGGCCCGGUGCAUCGCAAGCGUCCCAGCUGUGUCCAUGCUGAUGAGGAUGGGGCUGUGAUCGGCCACUGGU